rnacentral:rRNA from 1 species
UACAGAGGGUGCAAGCGUUGUUCGGAAUUAUUGGGCGUAAAGGGAGUGUAGGCGGCGCCCUAAGUCUUCUGUGAAAUCUACGGGCUUAGCCUGUAACGUGCAGAGGAAACUGGGGUGCUUGAGUGUCGGAGAGGAUAGUGGAAUUCCCGGUGUAGAGGCGAAAUUCGUAGAGAUCGGGAGGAACACCAGUGGCGAAGGCGACUAUCUGGCUGACAACUGACGCUGAGACUCGAAAGCAUGGGGAGCAAACAGG